UACGGAGGGUGCAAGCGUUAUCCGGAUUCACUGGGUUUAAAGGGUGCGUAGGCGGAUAAGUAAGUCCGUGGUGAAAUCUCUGAGCUUAACUCAGAAACUGCCGUGGAUACUAUUUGCCUUGAAUAUUGUGGAGGUGAGCGGAAUAUGUCAUGUAGCGGUGAAAUGCUUAGAUAUGACAUAGAACACCAAUUGCGAAGGCAGCUGGCUACACAAAUAUUGACACUGAGGCACGAAAGCGUGGGGAUCAAACAGG
rnacentral:rRNA from 1 species